AAUAUGUGACUAUAAGAUCUAGUAUGCAGUAUUCUGCAAACUGCAAUAUAAAACAAAAGAGAAUAAAACAUCAUUUUAUGUCACAAAGCAUGCAGAAAAAGAGAUUCAUUGUCCAGGACAAAACAUGUUUUUCAAGCCAUUGACUUUAACCAGGCUAUGGAAAAAAAGGUUCUUCAAUAACUGUAGCUAUAAUUUGAACAAAGUAUAACAGAAUGUGUUGUUUUGCUUUUGAUGGAACAUCCAAACUCAAUGAAUUGCUGAGUGGCCCCGUGACCAAGGAAGACUAAAAGAAAUAAUGAAAAAAUAAAAAUAAAAAUUGAUCAUUAAAUCUGCAAAGGGAAAAAUGCUAUCAUCAUAAAUUGAUUCAUAUUAAAGGCGUAAAUCAUCUAAUUCAGUCUUGUAAGUGAUAACUGUUGGAAUCCCUUGAUUUUAGGA
rnacentral:misc_RNA from 1 species